rnacentral:rRNA from 1 species
AACGAACGCUGGCGGCAGGCUUAACACAUGCAAGUCGAGCGCCCCGCAAGGGGAGCGGCAGACGGGUGAGUAACGCGUGGGAAUCUACCCAUCUCUACGGAAUAACGCAUGGAAACGUGUGCUAAUACCGUAUACGUCCUUCGGGAGAAAGAUUUAUCGGAGAUGGAUGAGCCCGCGUUGGAUUAGCUAGUUGGUGGGGUAAAGGCCUACCAAGGCGACGAUCCAUAGCUGGUCUGAGAGGAUGAUCAGCCACACUGGGACUGAGACACGGCCCAGACUCCUACGGGAGGCAGCAGUGGGGAAUAUUGGACAAUGGGCGCAAGCCUGACCCAGCCAUGCCGCGUGAGUGAUGAAGGCCCUAGGGUUGUAAAGCUCUUUCACCGGUGAAGAUAAUGACGGUAACCGGAGAAGAAGCCCCGGCUAACUUCGUGCCAGCAGCCGCGGUAGUACGAAGGGGGCUAGCGUUGUUCGGAUUUACUGGGCGUAAAGCGCACGUAGGCGGACUAUUAAGUCAGGGGUGAAAUCCCGGGGCUCAACCCCGGAACUGCCUUUGAUACUGGUAGUCUUGAGUUCGAGAGAGGUGAGUGGAAUUCCGAGUGUAGAGGUGAAAUUCGUAGAUAUUCGGAGGAACACCAGUGGCGAAGGCGGCUCACUGGCUCGAUACUGACGCUGAGGUGC